rnacentral:rRNA from 1 species
UAUGUGAUCGUCUCUCGCAUAUCAAUAAGCGGAGGAAAAGAAACUAACAAGGAUUCCCCUAGUAACGGCGAGAUGAAGCGGGAAGAGCUCAAAUUUGAAAUCUUAAAGGGUUUCCCUUUACGAAUUGUAGUUUAAAGAAGUGUUUUCUGUUGAGGUUUUGGUAAAAGUUCUUUGGAAUAGGACAUCAUAGAGGGUGAGAAUCCCGUAUUUGACCUUUACUUUCAACUUUGUGAUACACUUUCAAAGAGUCGGAUUGUUUGGGAAUGCAGUCCAAAAUGGGUGGUAAAUUUCAUCUAAAGCUAAAUAUUGGCGAGAGACCGAUAGCGAACAAGUACCGUGAGGGAAAGAUGAAAAGAACUUUGAAAAGAGAGUUAAACAGUACGUGAAAUUGUCAAAAGGGAAGCGUUUGACACCAGUGUUGUUUUUCUGAAAAUCAAUUAAAGAACUGUUUAUGCUAAGUUGUUUAGACUUUAUCAGCUAACUGUUUAGUUUUGAGCUUUUCUUUAAUGCACUUUUCAGUUAACAAGUCAACAUCAAUUUCUUUUGCUGUAAAAAAGCUCGAGGAAGGUGGCUUGAGAUUCGUCUUAAGUGUUUAUAGCCUCUUGCCUAUGCAGUCGGAGAGAUUGAGGUCUGCAGCGUAGAUCCUUCGGGGCUAAAUGCAUUUGUGCUAAGUUAUAGCAUUUUAUAGACAACUUGUUGACUAUGAUUUGUCUUGUAGCUUACUCGCUUAUGUUAUUUUACCUACGCUUAGGAUGUUGAAUCUACAGAGCGAGAGU